GGACGAAACUCUGGAAAGCGAUAGCACCGACGAAGCCAAAUCUUUCAGGUACAAAGACAGAGCGCAUGAA
rnacentral:ncRNA from 2 species